AUAUCAAUAAGCGGAGGAAAAGAAACCAACAGGGAUUGCCUCAGUAGCGGCGAGUGAAGCGGCAAAAGCUCAGAUUUGAAAUCCGGCGUCUUUCGGCGCCCGAGUUGUAAUCUGGAGAGGAUGCUCCGGCGAGGCCUGCCGCCCAAGUUCCUUGGAACAGGACGCCUUAGAGGGUGAGAGCCCCGUACCCGGCGGUUUGGCUGAGCCAUGUGGUGCUCCUUCGACGAGUCGAGUUGUUUGGGAAUGCAGCUCAAACUGGGUGGUAAAUUCCAUCUAAAGCUAAAUAUUGGCGGGAGACCGAUAGCGCACAAGUA
rnacentral:rRNA from 1 species